UCCCCCGUGGGGUAAUUGGCAGCCCGUGGGCCUUUGAAGCCCGAAGUCCUGGAUCGAAGCCAGGCGGGGGAG
rnacentral:tRNA from 1 species